CUUGACUAGGUCUUAUAAAGUUCUGGAUAAAGCUGAUAAUGACAACUUUAUAUCCAUAGGUCUCGACUAAAUCUUGUGCCAGCAGUCGCGGUAAGACAAGGGAGACGAGUGUUAUUCAUCUUGAACAGGUAUAUUGGGUACCUAGACUGUGUAUUUAGGCUUUUAUAGUACCUACUACACUAGAGUUUAAUAUGUGAGAGGAAGAUGUCAGAAUUGUUGGAGUAGAGAUGAAAUCCUUUAAUACUAAUAGGACUGAUAAUGGCGAAGGCAAACCUCUAUGUAUAUGUACAUUUUUUUACUAAAAUAUCGGUUUAUACAGAACAUGUGUAUCGAAAUUAUCGGUUUAUACAUAACAUGUAUGUCGAAGAAAAGGUUUACACAGACCAUAUAGAGCGAAAAAAAAAGGUAGAAAAGAGUACAGAACUGACGUUGAGGGACGAAGGCUCAGAGAGUGAAGAGGAUUAGAUACCCCCGUAGCCUGGGCAGACAAUGAUGAGUGCCAUAGGUUGGCUUUUAAGUUGAACUAUAAAUGAAAGUGGAAGCACUCCACCUCAAGAGUAAUGUGGCAACGCAGGAACUGAAAUCAUUAGACCGUUUCUGAAACCAGUAGUGAAGUAUGUUAUUUAAUUCGAUGAUCCGCGAAUAACCUUACCACAAUUUGAAUGCUCUAAAUUUUAUAUAGUAAUUGUGUGGUUAACACAUAUACAUUAGUAUAAUCACAAAAAACAGAUAGCAUAUAGCUAUAAUUAUAUAUUUAGACCACAUGCGUUGCAUGGCUGUCUUCAGUUAAUGUCGUGAGAUUUGGUUAGGUCCAUUAAAUUAACGUAAACCCUUGUCUUAUUUAAUACAAUAAGGCAGCUCUCCGCUUACAAUUGGAUAUGAUAACAGGGACUAAGACAAGUCAUCAUGGCCUUAAUAUUGUGGGCUAUAGACGUGCCACA
rnacentral:rRNA from 1 species